CAGCCGCCACGGUAAUACGAAGGGGGCUAGCGUUGCUCGGAAUCACUGGGCGUAAAGGGUGCGUAGGCGGGUCUUUAAGUUAGGGGUGAAAUCCUGGAGCUCAACUCCAGAACUGCCUUUGAUACUGAAGAUCUUGAGUUCGGGAGAGGUGAGUGGAACUGCGAGUGUAGAGGUGAAAUUCGUAGAUAUUCGCAAGAACACCAGUGGCGAAGGCGGCUCACUGGCCCGAUACUGACGCUGAGGCACGAAAGCGUGGGGAGCAAACAGGAUUAGAUACCCCUGUAGUCCCUGUCUCUUAUAC
rnacentral:rRNA from 1 species